CUGUUUAACAAAAACAUUUUUUCUUAGUAAGAUAAAGAGAUAUGCCCUGUUCUAUGAAAUUUAAAUGGCCGCAGUAUUUUAACUGUGCGAAGGUAGCGUAAUAAUUUUUUUUUUAAUUGAAAGGUUGGAUGAAGGGGUUGACAAAAUGCAGGCUUUACCUAUGUGGUAGGAAUAAUUUUCUUUAAGGGUUAAAAAGCUCUUGUAGGUUAAAGGGACGACAAGACCCUAAAAACUUUAUAAUUAAGGUUUAGGAAGGCAGGUUUAUUUUAAUUGGGGCGAUUGAAGUUAGAAACAGGUUUUUAUUAGAGUGAGAACAUUAUGUGUGGUGUUGAUGAUCUUUUAUGGAAUAGAAAGGUGAAGUUACUUUAGGGAUAACAGCGUAAUUAUUUUGGAAAGUUCAUAUUUAUAGAAUAGAUUGCGACCUCGAUGUUGAAUUAAAUAGUUUCUGGAGCAGAGGAAUAGAGGAAAAAGU
rnacentral:rRNA from 1 species